GGAUUUGUUCAAACGUGGGACGUCAAGAGAGGCCCAGUCCAUCUCUUAAAAGGAAGUCCCCUUUCCCUGGUUCCCUAAUCACUAGGGAAGAGCUGGACACAGGCCACACCCAAGGCAGCAAGAAGGGAACAUGACUACCCUUUCUCCUGAAAACAGCCUCUCUGCCAGGCGAUCAGCCACCUUCAUUCUGGAGAAGAGAAACCCCCCCAUCGACAAGGCAGAAUGGGACAGCUUCUUCGACGAGAACGGUCACUUGGCCAAGUCACGAGACUACAUUUGUAUUAACAUCCUGGAAAGGGGACUACACCCCUUCGUGAGGACAGAAGCCUGGAAGUUCCUCACAGGCUAUUACUCAUGGCAGAGUUCACGGGAUGAGCGGCUCAUGGUGGACAGCAACAGGAGGAGGAACUAUAACUCCCUGUGCCAGAUGUAUGAGAAAAUCCAGCCCCUGCUGGAAAACUUACAUGGGAACUUCACAGAGACUCGGAACAACAUCGCAUUCGACAUCCAGAGGCUGUAUGAUAAAGAUCCCCUGGGCAAUGUGCUUAUAGACAAGAAGAAACUGGAGAAGACCCUGCUGCUGAGUUACGUCUGCAACACAAAGGCCGAGUACCAGCGAGGCUUCCAUGAGAUGGUGAUGCUUUUCCAGCUGAUGGUGGAGCACGACCAUGAGACCUUCUGGCUCUUCCAGUUCUUCCUGCAGAAAACAGAGCAUAGCUGUGUCAUCAACAUCGGUGUAGGCAAGAAUCUGGACAUGCUCAACAUCCUGAUCACUCUACUGGACCCUGAAUUUGCUGAACACCUCAAAGGGAAGGGCUCAGGAGCUGUGCAGUCCCUCUUCCCGUGGUUCUGCCUUUGCUUCCAACGUGCCUUCAAAUCCUUCGAUGAUGUCUGGAGGCUCUGGGAGGGUAUCCUGGUCUCAGGCAACAGAGUUGAAGCCUGCUGGCUGCCCACAGGUCCUGCUGACGGGAAAGCCCUGCAGAAACUUCCAGGUGCUGGUGGCCUACAGCAUGCUACAGAUGGUGCGUGAGCAGGCGCUGCUGGAGUGUAUGAGCGGUGAUGCCAUUCUCACGGCUUGCAACAACCUUAUCGACCUUGAUUCGGAUGAGCUGAUCUCUGCUGCCUGUGUGGUUUAUGCUGAGCUCAUGCAAAAGGAGGUUCCUCAGCCAUUAAAGGAGUUCCUUCUCUAAAGACAUCAACACUCACAAUGGACACAUGCCCUCGGUGGCCGGGAUGAAGGCAACUCUCCAACUAUGAGGUCAAGAGCAAGUCCAAUGAGUACUGGGGUGAGGACGUGGACAAUACAGCUCCAUAGAAACC